rnacentral:rRNA from 1 species
UACGGGGGGGGGCAAGCGUUGUUCGGAAUUACUGGGCGUAAAGGGCUCGUAGGCGGCCAACUAAGUCGGAUGUGAAAUCCCCAGGCUUAACCUGGGAACUGCAUCCGAUACUGGAUGGCUUGAAUCCGGGAGAGGGAUGCAGAAUUCCAGGUGUAGCGGUGAAAUGCGUAGAUAUCUGGAGGAAUACCGGUGGCGAAGGCGGCAUCCUGGACCGGCAUUGACGCUGAUGAGCGAAAGCCAGGGAGCAAACGGG